rnacentral:rRNA from 1 species
GGCUCAGAUUGAACGCUGGCGGCAUGCUUUACACAUGCAAGUCGAACGGUAACAGGGAGCUUGCUCCGCUGACGAGUGGCGAACGGGUGAGUAAUAUAUCGGAACGUGCCCAAGAGUGGGGGAUAACGUAGCGAAAGUUACGCUAAUACCGCAUACGAUCYAAGGAUGAAAGCAGGGGACCGCAAGGCCUUGUGCUCCUGGAGCGGCCGAUAUCUGAUUAGCUAGUUGGUGAGGUAAAGGCUCACCAAGGCGACGAUCAGUAGCUGGUCUGAGAGGACGACCAGCCACACUGGAACUGAGACACGGUCCAGACUCCUACGGGAGGCAGCAGUGGGGAAUUUUGGACAAUGGGGGCAACCCUGAUCCAGCAAUGCCGCGUGAGUGAAGAAGGCCUUCGGGUUGUAAAGCUCUUUUGUCAGGGAAGAAAAGGUCGUGGCUAA